AGGAAGAGGACACCUCACUUUAUCCUACAUUCCUAUCUCAGUCAGGAAAGUAGCCCUAGAGAAGGAACUAAGAAGUCAAGAGGCCUUUUGUGAAGUUGCUCUGUUAUCUCUGUGGCCCCAAAGACCAAAAUGAUGGAGAAAAUGAAACCAGGAUGAUUUCUGACAUCUGCUUCCACUCCACCUUCUUUAACCACUUCAUCCACAUCUCUCUUAGCUUCUCACAUAAG
rnacentral:lncRNA from 1 species